rnacentral:rRNA from 1 species
AACGAACGCUGGCGGCAGGCCUAACACAUGCAAGUCGAGCGAGGACUUCGGUUCUAGCGGCGGACGGGUGAGUAACGCGUGGGAAUGUGCCCUUCUCUACGGAAUAGCCCUGGGAAACUGGGAGUAAUACCGUAUACGCCCUAUUGGGGAAAGAUUUAUCGGAGAAGGAUCAGCCCGCGUUGGAUUAGGUAGUUGGUGGGGUAAUGGCCUACCAAGCCGACGAUCCAUAGCUGGUUUGAGAGGAUGAUCAGCCACGCUGGGACUGAGACACGGCCCAGACUCCUACGGGAGGCAGCAGUGGGGAAUCUUAGACAAUGGGGGCAACCCUGAUCUAGCCAUGCCGCGUGAGUGAUGAAGGCCUUAGGGUUGUAAAGCUCUUUCAGCUGGGAAGAUAAUGACGGUACCAGCAGAAGAAGCCCCGGCUAACUCCGUG